rnacentral:rRNA from 1 species
GACGAACGCUGGCGGCGUGCCUAAUACAUGCAAGUCGAGCGGACCAAAGGGAGCUUGCUCCUGGAGGUUAGCGGCGAACGGGUGAGUAACACGUGGGCAACCUGCCUGUAAGACUGGGAUAACAUCGAGAAAUCGGUGCUAAUACCGGAUAAUAAAAAGAACUGCAUGGUUCUUUUUGAAAGAUGGUUUCGGCUAUCACUUACAGAUGGGCCCGCGGCGCAUUAGCUAGUUGGUGAGGUAACGGCUCACCAAGGCGACGAUGCGUAGCCGACCUGAGAGGGUGAUCGGCCACACUGGGACUGAGACACGGCCCAGACUCCUACGGGAGGCAGCAGUAGGGAAUCUUCCGCAAUGGACGAAAGUCUGACGGAGCAACGCCGCGUGAGUGAUGAAGGUUUUCGGAUCGUAAAACUCUGUUGUUAGGGAAGAACAAGUGCCGUUCGAAAGGGCGGCACCUUGACGGUACCUAACGAGAAAGCCACGGCUAACUACGUGCCAGCAGCCGCGGUAAAG